rnacentral:rRNA from 1 species
AUUGAACGCUGGCGGCAGGCCUAACACAUGCAAGUCGAGCGGAUGAAGGGAGCUUGCUCCUGGAUUCAGCGGCGGACGGGUGAGUAAUGCCUAGGAAUCUGCCUGGUAGUGGGGGAUAACGUCCGGAAACGGGCGCUAAUACCGCAUACGUCCUGAGGGAGAAAGUGGGGGAUCUUCGGACCUCACGCUAUCAGAUGAGCCUAGGUCGGAUUAGCUAGUUGGUGGGGUAAAGGCCUACCAAGGCGACGAUCAGUAACUGGUCUGAGAGGAUGAUCAGUCACACUGGAACUGAGACACGGUCCAGACUCCUACGGGAGGCAGCAGUGGGGUAUAUUGGACAAUGGGCGAAAGCCUGAUCCAGCCAUGCCGCGUGUGUGAAGAAGGUCUUCGGAUUGUAAAGCACUUUAAGUUGGGAGGAAGGGCAGUAAGUUAAUACCUUGCUGUUUUGACGUUACCAACAGAAUAAGCACCGGCUAACUUCGUG